UCCCUGGUGGUCUAGUGGUUAAGACCCUGUGCUUCCAAUGCAGGAGGUGCAGGUUUGAUUCCUGGUCAGGGAG
rnacentral:tRNA from 1 species